rnacentral:misc_RNA from 1 species
AAAGUUUUCCACAUUAUGCAAACAAAGGGAGUGCUUGGAGAUAGUCUAAUAUAUGCUACUCUUGCAUAUGCUUUCUUUAUGGUAGGGAAGGUUGAUGCUGCAUCAUAUUUGUUAGACGACAUGUACAAAAGAAGGCUAAUGAUAACCCUAAAAAUGUACAAAAGUUUUAAUGCUUCUUACUCUGAUGAGAAUACCCUUUUA